rnacentral:rRNA from 1 species
AUUGAACGCUGGCGGCAGGCCUAACACAUGCAAGUCGAGCGGAUGAAGGGAGCUUGCGCCUGGAUUCAGCGGCGGACGGGCGAGUAAUGCCUAGGAAUCUGCCUGGCAGUGGGGGAUAACGUCCGGAAACGGGCGCUAAUACCGCAUACGUCCUGAGGGAGAAAGGGGGGGAUCUUCGGACCUCACGCUAUCAGAUGAGCCUAGGACGGAUUAGCUAGUUGGUGGGGUAAAGGCCUACCAAGGCGACGAUCCGUAACUGGCCUGAGAGGAUGAUCAGUCACACUGGAACUGAGACACGGUCCAGACUCCUACGGGAGGCAGCAGUGGGGAAUAUUGCACAAUGGGCGAAAGCCUGAUCCAGCAAUGCCGCGUGUGUGAAGAAGGUCUUCGGAUCGUAAAGCUCUUUAAGUUGGGAGGAAGGGCAGUGAGUUAAUCCCUUGCUGUUUUGACGUUACCUACAGAGUAAGCCCCGGCUAACUUCGUG